UACGGAGGGAGCUAGCGUUAUUCGGAAUUACUGGGCGUAAAGCGCACGUAGGCGGCUUUGUAAGUAAGAGGUGAAAGCCUGGAGCUCAACUCCAGAAUUGCCUUUUAGACUGCAUCGCUUGAAUCAUGGAGAGGUGAGUGGAAUUCCGAGUGUAGAGGUGAAAUUCGUAGAUAUUCGGAAGAACACCAGUGGCGAAGGCGGCUCACUGGACAUGUAUUGACGCUGAGGUGACGAAAGCGGUGGGGAGCAAACAGG
rnacentral:rRNA from 1 species